AGAAGGCGGUGAUCCUGGACACGGCGCGGAUACCCCGCUGCCGGCGGCACCCUAGGUUAGGUUUUUUAUAAUGUGUUUAUAUGUAUUUUUUAUUGUUUUGUAAGUGUUUUUAUAUUUUACUUUUAUAUUCAUAUUGUAAAUAACCUAACUUAAGACGAAAAAUAAAUAAAGAAUAAA